rnacentral:lncRNA from 1 species
GAGCAGACUGAGGGAAGAACCAGAAGGCUGCCAAAAUACAAUUGUGUGCCUUUAAAGGAAAUAACAACAAGAAUUAGGAGCGCCCUGGAGGCAAGUUGCUCGGAAUCCAAUUGAAUUUUCCAGUUGUGCAUGAAAAUUAUAUUGUUGCAAAAACAGCUGCAAUAAUUUACCUUCCUGAAUCAACAUACUUGGGUAUCUCCCUUCCAUUCUGAUUCUGGACUUACCCAUAUGACUUACC